CACGUAGGGCGCAAGCGUUGUCCGGAAUCAUUGGGCGUAAAGCGCGCGUAGGUGGCCAUGUAAGUCCGCUGUGAAAGUCAAAGGCUCAACCUUUGAAAGCCGGUGGAUACUGCAUGGCUAGAGUACGGAAGAGGCGAGUGGAAUUCCUGGUGUAGCGGUGGAAAUGCGCAGGAUAUCAGGAGGAACACCAAUAGCGAAGGCAGCUCGCUGGGACGUUACUGACACUAAGGCGCGAAAGCGUGGGGAGCGAACAGGA
rnacentral:rRNA from 1 species